rnacentral:ncRNA from 1 species
CAUACGAUCUGGGGGAGCUGGGCUAGCCGGCUGAGAGUGUAUUCGAUCAAUACAGACCCUUAUACCUGAUCUGGAUAAUGCCAGCGUAGGAAGCGAAUCAAGCAUUGUAU